AGGCCAGCAUCGGUUCUUGCCGGGGGAUAAGAACGGUGGGAACGUGGCUCCCCCUCGGGGGAGUGUUAUAGCCCGCCGUACGAUGCCCUGGCGGGGACCGAGGUUCGCGCUUCCGCAAGGAUGCUGGCGUAAUGGUUACUAGUGACCCGUCUUGAAACACGGACCAAGGAGUCGUCCAUUAGAGCGAGCGUUUGGGUGUCAAACCCGCACGCGUAAUGAAAGUGAAAUUAGGUGAGAGCUUCGGCGCAUCAUCGACCGAUCCUGAUGUUCUCGGAUGGAUUUGAGUAAGAGUUUUAACGGACGGACCCGAAAGACAGUGAACUAUGCUUGUAUAGGGUGAAGCCAGAGGAAACUCUGGUGGAGGCUCGCAGCGGUUCUGACGUGCAAAUCGAUCGUCAAAUAUGAGCAUGGGGGCGAAAGACUAAUCGAACUGUCUAGUAGCUGGUUACCGCCGAAGUUUCCCUCAGGAUAGCAGUGUUGACCUUCAGUUUUAUGAGGUAAAGCGAAUGAUUAGGGACUCGGGGGCGCUAUAUUGCCUUCAUCCAUUCUCAAACUUUAAAUAUGUAAGAAGCCCUUGUUACUUAGUUGAACGUGGGCAUUCGAAUGUAGCAACACUAGUGGGCCAUUUUUGGUAAGCAGAACUGGCGAUGCGGGAUGAACCGAACGCGGGGUUAAGGCGCCAGAGUGUACGCUCAUCAGACACCACAAAAGGCGUUAGUACAUCUUGACAGCAGGACGGUGGCCAUGGAAGUCGGAAUCCGCUAAGGACUGUGUAACAACUCACCUGCCGAAUGUACUAGCCCUGAAAAUGGAUGGCGCUCAAGCGUACCGCCCAUACCCCGCCCUCAGGGUAGAAACGAUGCCCUGAGGAGUAGGCGGCCGUGGAGGUCAGUGACGAAGCCUAGGGCGGAGCCCGG
rnacentral:rRNA from 1 species